rnacentral:rRNA from 1 species
GAUGAACGCUGGCGGCGUGCCUAAUACAUGCAAGUCGAGCGAACAGACGAGGAGCUUGCUCCUCUGACGUUAGCGGCGGAAGGGUGAGUAACACGUGGAUAACCUACCUAUAAGACUGGGAUAAAUUCGGGAAACCGGAGCUAAUACCGGAUAAUAUAUUGAACCGCAUGGUUCAAUAGUGAAAGACGGUUUUGCUGUCACUUAUAGAUGGAUCCGCGCCGCAUUAGCUAGUUGGUAAGGUAAAGGCUUACCAAGGCAACGAUGCGUAGCCGACCUGAGAGGGUGAUCAGCCACACUGGAACUGAGACACGGUCCAGACUCCUACGGGAGGCAGCAGUAGGGAAUCUUGCGCAAUGGGCGAAAGCCUGACGGAGCAACGCCGCGUGAAUGAUGAAGGUCUUCGGAUCGUAAAACGCUGUUAUUAGGGAAGAACAAAUGUGUAAGUAACUAUGCACGUCUUGACGGUACCGAAUCAGAAAGCCACGGCUAACUACGUG